rnacentral:rRNA from 1 species
CUAUCAUGCAGUCGAACGCUUCUUUCCUCCCGAGUGCUUGCACUCAAUUGGAAAGAGGAGUGGCGGACGGGUGAGUAACACGUGGGUAACCUACCCAUCAGAGGGGGAUAACACUUGGAAACAGGUGCUAAUACCGCAUAACAGUUUAUGCCGCAUGGCAUAAGAGUGAAAGGCGCUUUCGGGUGUCGCUGAUGGAUGGACCCGCGGUGCAUUAGCUAGUUGGUGAGGUAACGGCUCACCAAGGCCACGAUGCAUAGCCGACCUGAGAGGGUGAUCGGCCACACUGGGACUGAGACACGGCCCAGACUCCUACGGGAGGCAGCAGUAGGGAAUCUUCGGCAAUGGACGAAAGUCUGACCGAGCAACGCCGCGUGAGUGAAGAAGGUUUUCGGAUCGUAAAACUCUGUUGUUAGAGAAGAACAAGGACGUUAGUAACUGAACGUCCCCUGACGGUAUCUAACCAGAAAGCCACGGCUAACUACGUGCCAGCAGCCGCGGUAAUACGUAGGUGGCAAGCGUUGUCCGGAUUUAUUGGGCGUAAAGCGAGCGCAGGCGGUUUCUUAAGUCUGAUGUGAAAGCCCCCGGCUCAACCGGGGAGGGUCAUUGGAAACUGG